AAUCCAUACAUUGGACAUUUCCUAAUUAACUCAUUAAAUUGCGCCCACGCUUCAUAUAGUGUUUCAUCUUCAAAUUGCUGAAAGGAUGUAAUAUCAUUUCUCAACUU
rnacentral:snoRNA from 1 species